UGUUUUCCAUGGCCGGCACCCUCCCCAUCUUUUGUAGAUUGGAAGAAAGGAUUCCUGUUUGUGUGAGAAGAAGCAAAUCCCAGCAUAACGCAUGCUAGGUGUUCGACGAAAUGUUCGAAUUGGGAUUGUCGUUGAUAUUGUGGAUCUGAGUCGUGCUUUGUAUUGGUGUGUCGUGGUGAAUAUCUCUAGAUCCGCGACUAUGUCUGUGUGUUUUGUUCUAUGGUGACGUUAGGAAAGUAUCUUUCCUCUCUUUCCCUUGUCUUUGUGAUGCUUUGUUGUAUGCCAUAUGUUUGGUGAAUGAAUAUGUAUAGAAGGAUUAAAUUGUUUAGGCAUAUGCAUAGCAUGAAUAAAAUGAGUUCUUCUUGUGUGAUGAUAUACUGUAUGGAAUGUGCUUGAUUGGAUAUAUGUGUAUGCAAAGUAUGAUUAAUUAGUUCUUUGUUUGCAUGAAGUGAGAGUAGAUUUAAAAAUACUAGGUUAUAUGAAGUGAAUGGAUUCAUGGUUAUAAUGUAUAAGUAAUCUAUAUAUGUGAUUAGGAAGUGUCAAGCAUGAAAGUUGUAGAAGUAAAUAUGAACCCAAUUGGAAUGUUUGCUGUUUGGACUGCGUGUACAGUUUUGAUUGUGCAACUAAUCUAGUG